UACAGAGGUCUCAAGCGUUUGUUCGGAUUCAUUGGGCGUAAAGGGUGCGUAGGCGGCGCGGUAAGUCGGGUGUGAAAUCUUGGAGCUUAACUCCGAAACUGCAUUCGAUACUGCCGUGCUUGAGGACUGGAGAGGAGACUGGAAUUUACGGUGUAGCGGUGAAAUGCGUAGAUAUCGUAAGGAAGACCAGUGGCGAAGGCGGGUCUCUGGACAGUUCCUGACGCUGAGGCACGGAAGGCCCAGGGGGAGCAAAACGGGG
rnacentral:rRNA from 1 species